rnacentral:tRNA from 1 species
CAAAAAAUAGUUUAAAAAAAAUAUU